GAGUUUAACCAUAAGUACUUAUUGUUAAAAAAUAUGUCCCAAAGCUAAUCGUCAGUCUGUUGACGGUUGUACUAUUUGAUAUAAUUGUAUAUGAAUUAAUUAAUAAAAUAUUUAUUUGAUAAUUUUGAUCCUAAGCUUGUAUAUCUUCUAUAUCAAACUUCUGUAUUAUGAUAAAAAUCUUUAGGACUAUUUUAAAUCAAUAAAGAAAGAUUUAUUGUUUAGUCCUUAAAU
rnacentral:lncRNA from 1 species